GGAGGGGUGGCCGAGCCCGGUUUAAGGCAGCGGUCUUGAAAACCGCCAGGGUCUAAAAGCCCUCGGGAGUUCGAAUCUCCCCCCCUCCG
rnacentral:tRNA from 1 species